AUUAAGAUUGUUUAUGUGUUAUUUUUAUGUUUCUUCAUGUUAUUUACAUAAUUUAUUGAUGUCCAAUUAAUUUGUACAUUUAUGUAGUGUUGUCAUUUUUAGUUGCGAUUAAGUUGUUUAAACAAGUAGAAAAAUGAGUAUAUAUUUAUUUUGAAUGGAUACAUAUUUUUGAGUUAGUGGAUCGACAUUUUGUAGUUGCUUUUAAUUUUUUUUAUAUUAUUAAUGUGUUAUUUUGUAGUGUGGUAAUUUUUUGUCUGGUUUAUAUUUCCAUUAUGAGGAGUGAGGACUCUAUUUUUAUUUAUUUGGACUGAGUUAUGCUUUCUCUAAACAUUUUGCGUUUUUUAUUUCUUGCUUUAUGUUUGCUUUUUAGUUUUUCACAACUUUUGUAUACUCUGAUUAUUUCAAAAAAAUAACUAAAAAAAUUUUGUCUUCAAAUUCAUGUCUGAGAGCAUCUCCAAGGAGCUCAUUAAAUUUGGUGUCACACUAUCAUCAAAUUUAAUGUUAAAAACUAUCUUCACUCCAACCACAACACCAAAAAUUACACUAAAAAAUUAUUUCUUAUUAUUAUAUUAAUUUUUUAAUAAAAUAAAAAAAUAAUAUUAUAUUAAUUAACUAAAACCACCACAAACUAAAAUGCACCCUUCUAAAUAAAAUAGUCACACGUGUAACAGAUAGUUUGUAUUAGAAUAUUUCUAAUUAAGGAAAUAAAAUAAUAUUAUUGAUUCUGAUAAAUGAAUAUUUUAUAUUCAUUGAAUCUGGACAGAAUCAAUUACGUAAUAUUCUAUAUAUGGUCAGAUUUCUAUAUUCAUUACCUGAUUUGAUUUCCUGAAUUAAUUGUCAAAAUAUUCUGACAAUUAAUGUGGCACAGAUACUGAUGGAGUAUCUCACCUAUAAAUAUAGGGUCUCGGUCCCCGAGCUCCUCACUCAUUCUGUUCAUAACAGCAAAUUCCAUCUAAAGAGAGUUGAGAGAGCGAGGAAGCCCGAUUACCCACAUUAACCAGUUUCCUUUGCAGAUCAAAGCUUAUGUGGGUUUGAAGCUCAAGAAUCAAUGGCUGGAGAUACUGAUGGAGUAUCUCACCUAUAAAUAUAGGGUCUCGGUCCCCGAGCUCCUCACUCAUUCUGUUCAUAACAGCAAAUUCCAUCUAAAGAGAGUUGAGAGAGCGAGGAAGCCCGAUUACCCACAUUAACCAGUUUCCUUUGCAGAUCAAAGCUUAUGUGGGUCUGAAGCUCAAGAAUCAAUGGCUGGAGGUAUUUCGAUCCUUAAAUUAUAGUGCAUAUAUGAUUUAUUAAUUCCGCACUUUAUACUUAAUCAUAUAUGUUUCAGUUUAUACAUAUAAAAUGUCUAACAGUUUGAACUUUAUUUUCAACUUGUUAAAUUUUUCUAAAUUUUUUAAAAUUUUACAAAAUAUCUUAAGUAAUUAUAAUAUACACAACCAUAAAAAAAAUAGACUAAAAAAUCUCUCAAAUGCGAAAACAAGUAAAAGUACAUCAAUAUACUACUUUUAAAAAAAUACAUUAUAAUUUCAUAAAUUCAAUUAAUAAUAUAAAUAUAUAUUAAUUAAAUAUAAUAUAUUAUAUAUAUAUAAAAAAAAA